GACGAACGCUGGCGGCGUGCUUAACACAUGCAAGUCGAACGGAAAGGCCCUGCUUUUGUGGGGUGCUCGAGUGGCGAACGGGUGAGUAACACGUGAGUAACCUGCCCUUGACUUUGGGAUAACUUCAGGAAACUGGGGCUAAUCCCGGAUAGGAGCUCCUGCUGCAUGGUGGGGGUUGGAAAGUUUCGGCGGUUGGGGAUGGACUCGCGGCUUAUCAGCUUGUUGGUGGGGUAGUGGCUUACCAAGGCUUUGACGGGUAGCCGGCCUGAGAGGGUGACCGGCCACAUUGGGACUGAGAUACGGACCAGACUCCUACGGGAGGCAGCAGUGGGGAAUAUUGCACAAUGGGCGGAAGCCUGAUGCAGCAACGCCGCGUGCGGGAUGACGGCCUUCGGGUUGUAAACCGCUUUCGCCUGUGACGAAGCGUGAGUGACGGUAAUGGGUAAAGAAGCACCGGCUAACUACGUG
rnacentral:rRNA from 1 species